AUUGAACGCUGGCGGCAGGCCUAACACAUGCAAGUCGAGCGGAUGAAGGGAGCUUGCUCCUGGAUUCAGCGGCGGACGGGUGAGUAAUGCCUAGGAAUCUGCCUGGUAGCGGGGGAUAACGUCCGGAAACGGGCGCUAAUACCGCAUACGUCCUGAGGGAGAACGUGGGGGAUCUUCGGACCUCACGCUAUCAGAUGAGCCUAGGUCGGAUUAGCUAGUUGGUGGGGUAAAGGCCUACCAAGGCGACGAUCCGUAACUGGUCUGAGAGGAUGAUCAGUCACACUGGAACUGGGACACGGUCCAGACUCCUACGGGGGGCAGCAGUGGGGAAUAUUGGACAAUGGGCGAAGGCCUGAUCCAGCCAUGCCGCGUGGGUGAAGAAGGUCUUCGGAUUGUAAAGCACUUUAAGUUGGGAGGAAGGGCAGUAAGUUAAUACCUUGCUGUUUGACGUUACCAACAGAAUAAGCACCGGCUAACUUCGUG
rnacentral:rRNA from 1 species